CCUACGGGAGGCAGCAGUGAGGAAUAUUGGUCAAUGGUCGGAAGACUGAACCAGCCAUGCCGCGUGCAGGAAGAAUGCCUUAUGGGUUGUAAACUGCUUUUAUAUGGGAAGAAUAAGGCGUACGUGUACGUUGAUGACGGUACCAUAUGAAUAAGCAUCGGCUAACUCCGUGCCAGCAGCCGCGGUAAUACGGAGGAUGCGAGCGUUAUUCGGAAUCAUUGGGUUUAAAGGGUCUGUAGGCGGGCUAUUAAGUCAGGGGUGAAAGGUUUCAGCUUAACUGAGAAAUUGCCUUUGAUACUGGUAGUCUUGAAUAUCUGUGAAGUUCUUGGAAUGUGUAGUGUAGCGGUGAAAUGCUUAGAUAUUACACAGAACACCGAUUGCGAAGGCAGGGGACUAACAGACAAUUGACGCUGAGAGACGAAAGCGUGGGGAGCGAACA
rnacentral:rRNA from 1 species